CAAAAUCCACUUACAAGUAGCCUUAAGAGCUUUGCUCCACGAAGCAUCAUACGUCACAAACCUCUGUGAUGUUUGAAUUAGGACCUUGAUCCAUUUUAAUAAGUCGUUCUGAAAAUGUUAUCGCCAAAAAUAAAUUUCAUAUUGUAUUUGCCGAUCCUUCACAAGUUUUUUUACCAAACCUUGAGGAGUUUGCUGUGUUCCAACUGGUUGCUUAAAGUUAACGUAACUUUGUUU
rnacentral:lncRNA from 1 species